GAUGAACGCUGGCGGCGUGCUUAACACAUGCAAGUCGAACGGUGAAGCAGGAGCUUGCUCCUGUGGAUCAGUGGCGAACGGGUGAGUAACACGUGAGCAAUCUGCCCUGGACUCUGGGAUAAGCGUUGGAAACGACGUCUAAUACCGGAUACGAGGCGUGGGGGAAUCCCCAACGCCUGGAAAGAACUUCGGUCCAGGAUGAGCUCGCGGCCUAUGAGGUAGUUGGUGCGGUAACGGCUCACCAAGCCUACCACGGGUAGCCGGCCUGAGAGGGCGACCGGCCACACUGGGACUGAGACACGGCCCAGACUCCUACGGGAGGCAGCAGUGGGGAAUAUUGCACAAUGGGCGCAAGCCUGAUGCAGCAACGCCGCGUGAGGGACGACGGCCUUCGGGUUGUAAACCUCUUUUAGCAGGGAAGAAGCGAAAGUGACGGUACCUGCAGAAAAAGCACCGGCUAACUACGUGCCAGCCGCCGCCGUAAUAC
rnacentral:rRNA from 1 species